UACGGAGGGGGCUAGCGUUGUUCGGAAUUACUGGGCGUAAAGCGCACGUAGGCGGCCUUGCAAGUCAGAGGUGAAAGCCCGGGGCUCAACCCCGGAAUAGCCUUUGAGACUGCAUCGCUAGAAUUGUGGAGAGGUAAGUGGAAUUCCGAGUGUAGAGGUGAAAUUCGUAGAUAUUCGGAAGAACACCAGUGGCGAAGGCGGCUCACUGGACGACUGUUGACGCUGAGGUGCGAAAGCGUGGGGAGCAAACAGG
rnacentral:rRNA from 1 species